UCGGGUAUGGUGUAACGGCUAACAUUGCCGCCUCUCAUAAUUGCUUCGCGGCAGCUCGGGGUUCGAUUCCCCGUACCCGAA
rnacentral:tRNA from 1 species